GAUGAACGCUAGCGGCAGGCCUAACACAUGCAAGUCGAGGGGUAACAUAGAAAAGCUUGCUUUUCUGAUGACGACCGGCGCACGGGUGCGUAACGCGUAUACAACCUACCUUUUAGCGGGGAAUAGCCCAGGGAAACUUGGAUUAAUGCCCCAUAGUAUAUAGACUUCUCCUGAAGUUUAUAUUAAACAUUUAUGGCUAUUAGAUGGGUAUGCGUCCUAUUAGUUAGUUGGUAAGGUAACGGCUUACCAAGGCAGCGAUAGGUAGGGGUCCUGAGAGGGAGAUCCCCACACUGGUACUGAGACACGGACCAGACUCCUACGGGAGGCAGCAGUGAGGAAUAUUGGACAAUGGGCGAGAGCCUGAUCCAGCCAUGCCGCGUGCAGGAAAACUGCCCUAUGGGUUGUAAACUGCUUUUACAGAGGAAGAACCACCCCCACGUGUGGGGGUUUGACGGUACUCUGCGAAUAAGGAUCGGCUAACUCCGUG
rnacentral:rRNA from 1 species